rnacentral:misc_RNA from 1 species
GCUUAGUCGAUCGGGAGUUUGAAAGUACGAAGAAGCUGAAAUUGACAUACCCACAUAUAAUCUAUAAUCUGUAAGCAACGCAAGGGAACACAAUUCAUAGGCAGGUUGUUUUCAGAUAUUCAAGCAAAUGAAAACACAUACGUAUAUGAUCCUGGAGAGACCAAGUUUUUACCGCACGUCAAAUCGGCCAAAAUCUCAUGAUGCCAUCCAUCAUCUAAGGAAGGAGAUCAUAUUGCAAGACUAGCACGCAAGCAGUAAUUGAAAAACUUGCUACAGACCUCAACAGUGAUGGUAUGGUACCUCAAAUGCGUGCCGGCCUUCAAGUUGCGGCAAAUUGCUCUGCGGAUUUUCUCCACAAGAACAGCAGUAGAAUACCACCACGUUGCACAUGUUUGAACUAUUACUUUAAAAUAAUGAUAUCACCUGUUAGCAGGCAUUUUUACUAUAAAACGCAGGCAAAGAUGACGAUCCCAUAGACCAAGGCAACAAAUUCAUCUUGGAAGUUUCUUUAAAUCAAUUGACUCAAGUCGGAUCCCAUAGCUAUGAAGACUGUUCAUCUUUUAGCACGUUAGUCUUGACAAGUUCAAUGCUUAUAUAUUAGUUUUAGUGAGUUGAAGUUCCCUCAACGGGGAACCCCAACUCAUUUGUUGUAUAAUUUGCAGCUGGUGUUUUAUUCCAACCAAUGUCAUCCUCGCAGAUGUGAUCGGGCUAAGGAUAUUAGAUCCACUUUGAUUCCGAACUCAUUAAAUGAAACAGAAAGGACUUAAUGAAUGAAAGCAGAGUACACACUGACUACUGUUCAUCAAUUACAUUACCUUGCUGAAGUCAUCAUACGAAAGCUAAACAAUAGAAAAGCCCAAAAGCUGUAAAGAAAUUCAAACCAAUUCAACGGAAAACUAUAGCCCUUUUCUGCCAAGUCUAGACAAUGGUGGUGAUACAGAGAACAGAGAGUGCUGGCUGAACCAAAGCAUAUAUAUAAGAAUUGACUAAUUUAUCUGCAUAGACUCAGCAUGAUACUUUUCCAAGUCAGCAUCAAGAUCUUCAGCGGAUACUUUUUCACUUGGACCUCUUCCCCGCCCACGCCCUCUUCCAAAACCACGACCACGUUGACGUGAUGGUGGACCACCCCUACCUUGCUGCCUUCUAGGAGCCCCAUUUAAAUUUUCGAAAGGGUUCGCAGCAGUGGUAAGACCAACAGCAGGCGUGGAAAUAUUAGUUCCAACGAUCUCUAUCUUCAUUGGUUUUCCAUCAAGCUGAACGUUGUUGUACUUCUUGACGGCCGCAACAGCAUCUAGUCGUCUUGAGAAAACUACUUCUGCUGUUCCCUUGGAUCUCCCACUCUUGUCAUAGUGGAUCCCGUAACGUUUCAUCUCACCAACUUCAGAAAGAAGUUCCUUAAUAUCUUCGUUAGAAACGCCGUAAUCCAAAUUAGAUAUGUAAAGCUUCGUCCCAGUCUGAAUGGCGGAGGCUCUCCCAGCUUGCACAGGGAAUCCAGAACCCGAAUCGGCGAACAUAUCGUGCUGCCACGUCGUCUCCGGCGCCUUGGGAGCGGAAUAAGGUGUGCGACUAGCGGCGCGAUUGGGAAAUCGACGGACGGGACCGGGUCCAGAACCUCUUCCGCGACCUCUAGAAUUACCGGAUCUGGAUUUUUUAUUGUUCUUUAUGAUAUCAUCAAGACUCAUAUCCAAAGGAGCGGCCAUGUUUAAAGAGUAAUUGAAGAGAAAAACAGUGAAGAAGCAGUCGAAAAGAAAAGAGUGAGAAGAAAAGGGAAUUAGGGUUUCGCAGAUUCGUCGAUAGGGAAGGGUUUGGGGAGAGAGAGAUUGGGGGGCGG